AGAGUUUGAUCCUGGCUCAGGAUGAACGCUAGCGACAGGCCUAACACAUGCAAGUCGAGGGGCAGCGGGGAGGUAGCAAUACCUUUGCCGGCGACCGGCGCACGGGUGAGUAACACGUAUGCAAUCCACCUGUAACAGGGGGAUAACCCGGAGAAAUCCGGACUAAUACCCCAUAAUAUGGGCUCUCCGCAUGGAGAGCCCAUUAAAGAGAGCAAUUUUGGUUACAGACGAGCAUGCGCUCCAUUAGCCAGUUGGCGGGGUAACGGCCCACCAAAGCGACGAUGGAUAGGGGUUCUGAGAGGAAGGUCCCCCACAUUGGAACUGAGACACGGUCCAAACUCCUACGGGAGGCAGCAGUGAGGAAUAUUGGUCAAUGGUCGGCAGACUGAACCAGCCAAGUCGCGUGAGGGAAGACGGCCCUACGGGUUGUAAACCUCUUUUGUCGGAGAGUAAAGUACGCUACGUGUAGUGUAUUGCAAGUAUCCGAAGAAAAAGCAUCGGCUAACUCCGUGCCAGCAGCCGCGGUAAUACGGAGGAUGCGAGCGUUAUCCGGAUUUAUUGGGUUUAAAGGGUGCGUAGGCGGCACGCCAAGUCAGCGGUGAAAUUUUCGGGCUCAACCCGGACUGUGCCGUUGAAACUGGCGAGCUAGAGUACACAAGAGGCAGGCGGAAUGCGUGGUGUAGCGGUGAAAUGCAUAGAUAUCACGCAGAACCCCGAUUGCGAAGGCAGCCUGCUAGGGUGAAACAGACGCUGAGGCACGAAAGCGUGGGUAUCGAACAGGAUUAGAUACCCUGGUAGUCCACGCAGUAAACGAUGAAUACUAACUGUUUGCGAUACAAUGUAAGCGGUACAGCGAAAGCGUUAAGUAUUCCA
rnacentral:rRNA from 1 species